rnacentral:rRNA from 1 species
GACGAACGCUGGCGGUGUGCUUAACACAUGCAAGUGGUGCGACGAACCAGAGCUUGCUCUGGGGCAAAGCCGCGAACGGUGAGUAACACGUGGGUAAUCUACCCCGAUGACCGGGACAACCCGAGGAAACUCGGGCUAAUACCGGAUGUGGUACGGAGACAUAAGUCUCUUUACUAAAGGUAGCUUCGGCUUCCGCAUUGGGAGGGGCCCGCGGCCCAUUAGCUAGUUGGUGGGGUCAAGGCCUACCAAGGCAACGAUGGUAGCUGGUCUGAGAGGACGAUCAGCCACACUGGGACUGAGACACGGCCCAGACUCCUACGGAGGCAGCAGUGGGGAAUCUUGCGCAAUGCGCGAAAGCGUGACGCAGCAACACCGCGUGAGGGAAGACGGCCUUAGGGUUGUAAACCUCUUUCAGAUGGGACGAAGGUGAUGCGGUGAAUAGCCGAUGUCAUUGACGGUACCGUCAGAAGAAGCUCCGGCUAACUACGUGCCAGCAGCCGCGGUA